rnacentral:rRNA from 1 species
UACGUAGGAUGCGAGCGUUGUCCGGAAUUAUUGGGCGUAAAGCGAACGUAGGCGGCCAUCUAAGUUUGGUCUUAAAGACCGGGGCUCAACCCCGGGACUGGACUGAAUACUGGGUGGCUGGAGCGUGUUAGAGGAAAGUGGAAUUCCAGGUGUAGCGGUGAAAUGCGUAGAUAUCGGAAAGAACACCAACGGCGAAAGCACUCUGCUGGGCCGACACUGACACUGAGAGACGAAAGCUAGGGGAGCGAAUGGG